UACGUAGGUGGCAAGCGUUAUCCGGAAUUAUUGGGCGUAAAGCGCGCGCAGGCGGUUUCUUAAGCCUGAUGUGAAAGCCCACGGCUCAACCGUGGAGGGUCAUUGGAAACUGGGGAAUUGAGUGCAGAAGAGAAAAGCGGAAUUCCACGUGUAGCGGUGAAAUGCGUAGAGAUGUGGAGGAACACCAGUGGCGAAGGCGGCUUUUUGGUCUGUAACUGACGCUGAGGCGCGAAAGCGUGGGGAGCGAACAGG
rnacentral:rRNA from 1 species